rnacentral:rRNA from 1 species
CCUACGGGUGGCUGCAGUGAGGAAUAUUGGUCAAUGGGCGUAAGCCUGAACCAGCCAAGUAGCGUGCAGGAUGACGGCCCUAUGGGUUGUAAACUGCGUUUAUGCGGGGAUAAAGUGAGGGACGUGUCCUUCAUUGCAGGUACCGCAUGAAUUAGGACCGGCUAAUUCCGUGCCAGCAGCCGCGGUAAUACGGAAGGUCCGGGCGUUAUCCGGAUUUAUUGGGUUUAAAGGGAGCGUAGGCCGUGGAUUAAGCGUGUUGUGAAAUGUAGACGCUCAACGUCGGACUUGCAGCGCGAACUGGUACACUUGAGUGUGCACAACGCAGGCGGAAUUCGUCGUGUAGCGGUGAAAUGCUUAGAUAUGACGAAGAACCCCGAUUGCGAAGGCAGCUUGCGGGAGCACGACUGACGCUGAAGCUCGAAAGUGCGGGUAUCGAACAGGAUUAGAUACCCGGGUAGUC